GGAAUAGUAUUAGAUGCCAGGAGGAUCUGUGUGACUGGAAGAUCUCCCUGGAGAAAGCAAGUGUCAUCUCAGCGGAGACUUCAAAAUAAGUCACCAAUGUGCUUGUGAUCCUACAGGAACUGGGGAAGUGAAACUGGCUUCUCCAAGGAUAGGGGCUCUUCUCAAAACAACUGUCCAGAAAUCCCAGCGUAUUGCUAAUUCCACAUGCCAUCUGCCUGCUGCCUGGGAUUCUUUACAGCAGUCAUCACAGCUCCCCAGAGCCCACAAGAAGAGGGUCUGGAGAGAAUCCAACCAGCAGAGUUGGGAGACUCUGGCCAAGAGGACCAAAACACUAAGGAACCUGAGCAGAAAUUUCACCACCUGCUUCCAGGAUGAGGUCAGGAAGGGCAUUGGACAAUGACUGGAGUCUGGAAGCUUUGGAGAGGAGCCAAAUUCAUAUGAAAAGAACUAAACAAGGCCAGGUGCGGUGGCUCACGCCUGUAAUCCCAGCACUUUGGGAGGCUGAGGCAGGCGGAUCACGAGGUUAGGAGAUCAAGACCAUCCUGGCUAACACGGUGAAACCCCGUCUCUACUAAAAAUACAAAAAAAAAAAAAAUAGCCGGGCAUGGUGGCAGGCGCCUGUAGUCGCAGCUACUCGGGAGGCUGAGGCAGGAGAAUGGCGUGAACCCAAGAGGCGGAGCUUGCAAUGAGCCGAGAUCACGGCACUGCACUCCAGCCUAGGCGACAGUGCAGACUCCGUCUCAAAAAAAAAAAAAGUAAGAAAAGAAAAGAACUAAACAAAAAACUGCCCUUCUCCCAGGGACAAUAGGGAGUUCAGCCCUCCUAUUUCUCUACAGGGAAUAAUAAUAUCAGCCAUAGGAUCCUGUCCCAUUGUAC
rnacentral:lncRNA from 1 species